UUUCCGUAGGUGAACCUGCGGAAGGAUCAUUAUUGUAUAACCGAGGUGCGAGGGCUGUCGCUGUCCCGAAAGGUCGUGCACGCCCGAGUGCCCUCACACACAUCCAUCUCACCCCUAUGUGCACCACCGCGUGGGUCCCCCUUUGGCUUGUUCGGAGGGGGGCUUACGUUUUCACACAAACUUUGUAUGCAGUGUAGAAUGUAUUUCUUGUUUUCGCGAUCACGCAAUCAAUACAACUUUCAACAACGGAUCUCUUGGCUCUC
rnacentral:misc_RNA from 1 species